rnacentral:rRNA from 1 species
UACGGAGGGUGCAAGCAUUAAUCGGAAUUAUUGGGCGUAAAGGGCGCGUAGGCGGGUAUGUAAGUCAGAUGUGAAAUUCCGAGGCUCAACUUCGGAGCUGCAUUUGAAACUAUAAACCUUGAGGAUUGGCGGAGAGAACGGAAUUCCACGUGUAGCGGUGAAAUUCGUAGAUAUUCGGAAGAACACCAGUGGCGAAGGCGACUCACUGGCCCGAUACUGACGCUGAGGCGCGAAAGCGUGGGGAGCAAACAGG